rnacentral:rRNA from 1 species
AGUUUGAUCCUGGCUCAGGAUGAACGCUGGCGGUCUGCUUAACACAUGCAAGUCGAACGGAGUGCUUCGGCACUUAGUGGCGGACGGGUGAGUAACGCGUGAGAAUCUGCCCUUAGGACGGGGACAACAGCUGGAAACGGCUGCUAAUACCCGAUGUGCCGAGAGGUGAAACAUUUUAUGGCCUGAGGAUGAGCUCGCGUCUGAUUAGCUAGUUGGUGGGGUAAGAGCCUACCAAGGCGACGAUCAGUAGCUGGUCUGAGAGGAUGAUCAGCCACACUGGGACUGAGACACGGCCCAGACUCCUACGGGAGGCAGCAGUGGGGAAUUUUCCGCAAUGGGCGCAAGCCUGACGGAGCAAGACCGCGUGCGGGAGGACGGCCUAUUGGUUGUAAACCGCUUUUGAUAGGGAAGAAGUACUGACGGUACCUAUCGAAUCAGCAUCGGCUAACUCCGUGCCAGCAGCCGCGGUAAUACGGAGGAUGCAAGCGUUAUCCGGAAUUAUUGGGCGUAAAGCGUCCGUAGGUGGUUGUUCAAGUCUGCUGUUAAAGCGUGCGGCUUAACCGCAUACCAGCAGUGGAAACUGGGCGACUAGAGUGCGGUAGGGGUCAGGGGAAUUCCCAGUGUAGCGGUGAAAUGCGUAGAUAUUGGGAAGAACACCGGUGGCGAAAGCGCCUGACUGGACCUGCACUGACACUGAGGGACGAAAGCUAGGGGAGCGAAAGGGAUUAGAUACCCCUGUAGUCCUAGCCGUAAACGAUGGACACUAGGUGUUGCCCGUAUCGACCCGGGCAGUGCCGUAGUCAACGCGUUAAGUGUCCCGCCUGGGGAGUACGCUCGCAAGAGUGAAACUCAAAGGAAUUGACNGGGGCCCGCACAAGCGGUGGAGUAUGUGGUUUAAUUCGAUGCAACGCGAAGAACCUUACCAGGGCUUGAC